rnacentral:rRNA from 1 species
AUGCCUUACACAUGCAAGUCGAACGGCAGCACGGGAGCUUGCUCCUGGUGGCGAGUGGCGAACGGGUGAGUAAUACAUCGGAACGUACCCUGAAGUGGGGGAUAACGUAGCGAAAGUUACGCUAAUACCGCAUAUUCUGUGAGCAGGAAAGAGGGGGGAUCGCAAGACCUCUUGCUUUAGGAGCGGCCGAUGUCGGAUUAGCUAGUUGGUGAGGUAAAGGCUCACCAAGGCGACGAUCCGUAGCGGGUCUGAGAGGAUGAUCCGCCACACUGGGACUGAGACACGGCCCAGACUCCUACGGGAGGCAGCAGUGGGGAAUUUUGGACAAUGGGCGCAAGCCUGAUCCAGCCAUGCCGCGUGAGUGAAGAAGGCCUUCGGGUUGUAAAGCUCUUUCGGUGGGGAAGAAAUUGCUUCGGUUAAUACCUGGAGUAGAUGACGGUACCCGCAUAAGAAGCACCGGCUAACUACGUG